ACACAUGCAGUCGACGUGAAGCUCUUCGGAGUGAGUAGAGUGGCGGACGGGUGAGUAACGCGUAGGAAUCUACCUAGUAGUGGGGGACAACAUGUGGAAACGCAUGCUAAUACCGCAUACGCCCUACGGGGGAAAGUGGGGGAUCUUCGGACCUCACGCUAUUAGAUGAGCCCGCGUUGGAUUAGCUUGUUGGUGGGGUAAUGGCCUACCAAGGCGACGAUCCAUAGCUGGUUUGAGAGGAUGAUCAGCCACACUGGGACUGAGACACGGCCCAGACUCCUACGGGAGGCAGCAGUGGGGAAUAUUGGACAAUGGGCGCAAGCCUGAUCCAGCAAUGCCGCGUGUGUGAAGAAGGCCUGAGGGUUGUAAAGCACUUUCAAUAGAGACGAAAAGCCUAGGAUUAAUACCCCUGGGUCUUGACUUAACCUAUAGAAGAAAACACCGGCUAACUCCCGUGCCAGC
rnacentral:rRNA from 1 species